rnacentral:lncRNA from 10 species
CACGCCAGCAGCUGAUUAGCUGGUGCCCACCCAGAUUAAGGGUGGGUCUGCCUUUCCCAGUUCACCGACUCAAAUGUUAAUCUCCUUUGGCAACACCCUCAUAGACACACCCAGGAUCAAUACUUUGCAUCAUUCAACCCAAUCAAGUUGACACUCAGUAUUAAUCAUCACAGGGGGAAUUUUGAGUGAUGUCAGGAGAAGCAGUCACACAGGUGUGCAAUGCAUGUUUGCCAAGACAGCCGCAUAAGCCAUCGGCAGGAAUCAAGGUACAGGAAGGGCUUCCUGGGGUACUCAGUUGGGAAAGGGGUGCUUUGGAGUAGCUGGGAGGGCUGGAGCACUUAGAACACUUAGCCCGCUGGGAGUCACUCCAUGGACAGAACAUGAUAAGGCAAAGGCCACAUGGAGGACCUGAACACCUCUGGGUGACCUCAGACAGUCACUUCUGGUCUCUGGUCUCCGUCUCCUGUUCAAUCAUCAAAGCUGUUUACCGACUUCCAAGAGUCACUGUAAGUCCCAAGUGUGGCGACAGGCGUGCAGGAAACUCACACACUAUAAAUUCCCUUUCAAAAGUCAAGAGGAAGCCGGGGGAGUGGACGUUGGUCUAGACUGCUGUGACAUUUCUGAAGCUCCUCUGAAAAUCCACCACCAUCCGCACUGUGCCAGGAAGAGCCUCUGUCUGAGGACAGCCAUUGAGAAGUGGACAAGAGUGGGUACAUUUACAAUUUGCAGAGAGGAGAAAAACAAAAAAAGGAAGAAAAACAGUCAUCCGCGCUGGCUGGCUCACGGUCACACACAUUUCUGGGUCCUUCCCCAGCAGGCAAUGACAUCUGGUAACCCCAUUGUCUGCUAUCUGCAGGGAAGAAAGUGUUAGACACGAGGGCAGAUGGAGUUUGCCUAACGUGUCUGUUCUCUUCUUUGCUGCCUUUUCAACUCUUCUUGGGAAUGCAGCAAAAUAGCAGCUGUUCAUAAUUUCAUGAAUAAAGAACUAUGUAAAUUUCAACUAUGAAAA